UACAGGGGGUGCAAACGUUGCUCGGAAUUAUUGGGCGUAAAGCGCACGUAGGCGGCUUUGUAAGUUAGAGGUGAAAGCCCGGGGCUCAACUCCGGAACUGCCUUUAAGACUGCAUCGCUAGAAUUGUGGAGAGGUGAGUGGAAUUCCGAGUGUAGAGGUGAAAUUCGUAGAUAUUCGGAAGAACACCAGUGGCGAAGGCGACUCACUGGACACAUAUUGACGCUGAGGUGCGAAAGCGUGGGGAGCAAACAGG
rnacentral:rRNA from 1 species